UUUUAUGAAUGAACAAAGAAAGUGAUUUCUUAAGAUGGAAGCUACCCCUGGUGAAGAUGUUGUGAA
rnacentral:pre_miRNA from 1 species